AGAGGGAUAGCUGGGUCAAAUGGUAGUUCCCAAUUUUUCAAGAAAUCUCCAUACUGCUUUCCAUAUUGGCUGCACCAAUUUGCAGUCCCACCAGCAGU
rnacentral:pre_miRNA from 1 species